CUUCCCACAACCUUGUGACUUAGAGCCUGGUGCUUCAUCUCGACUAACAUUCUUAGACUUGGGUACUAGCACUCAGACUGAAAGCAUAUCUGGUGUUGAGAAUCUCUGAUGGAACUGGGAGCGGUUACUACCCCCUGAUCUUGGCUUAGAAUUAUUUGUUGUAGCCCUCUUAUUCUUUCUACACUCUCCUCCCUUACUCUGUUGAGUGCAAGUCUAAAUCCUAGAUAGGAAAAUAGUCUACAAAUUGUUCUGAGCAACUACUAAAUAAGCUAAGUUAGCAAAAACAUCUGUAAAUUCAAUGUGAGAGACAUGCUCAUUCAGGAGAUCUACCUGAACGGGUGGAGGAGCUAACUGGUUUUCAUUACUUCUUCCAUUAGCUUCUUUGGGAGGGAUAUUCUGGAAAGUUAAGGAAGAGUUGAAUCAGACUGAGAGUUUAACAUGAGCUCAUGCCCACUCGCACGUCAUGAAUACAGAAAGAAGGAAACUUUUCCUAAAAUAUCUCACAGCCCAGUCCAUAAGUGUGGCGCGCUACACACCCAUGCACAAUACUCAACACGAUCGGCUUUCAGACUCCCUAGGACUCUAUUGAACCUUAGUCUUUGAUACUGAGUUUGUAACACCUCGAGUCUUUACCCUAGAUGCUACACGAUGCUUACGACCCCAAAGGACCACAAGCUAACCCAUGACUGAUAUUUGCUGUGAGCACUGAAUAAUACUAGUGUAAAAUAUGAAAAAUAGGCUGGAAUGCCAUAAAGUUCAAAAUCUAAAAUACUGAUAAAUAACAACAUCUGAUAAAACAUCUAAAUCUGAAAUACUGUCUGAACUAAUCUAGUCUGAAAAGCCUCUAACUAAAUUAUCUAAAAGUAAAUCUGAUGGGACAAGCCCCCAAUGAACUUUAACCAAUGCAGUGCUAAAACUACUGUAAUACUAUAAUAAAAAUACAUCAUCGAUAGAUGAGGACUCACUACUAAAGCUGCUUCUGCUGACUGGAUCUGUCUAAGAACGGUCGGGAACCUGAGCAUCCAAACCUAAAAUAUGAGACAUCAUAGUGCAAAGAAAGAGUAUGCGCCAGUACGUGGAAUGUAAUAGUAUGCUAGAUGAGGUAAGGUUGAAUUCAAGGGUUCAUAUACAAUAUUGUGCUUAUAUAUACUGUAACUGAGCUUUUCUUAAGCUAAGUAAUGAGUUCUGAUACAGAGUUACUAAUAAUCAAAGAUUUUUGAUAACUAAGUUACUGAUACUGAUUGACUGUAUCUGGUAGUCCUAAUUCUGCAGAAUUGAACUGAGUUCUAUUCUAAAGACUAAAACUAAAAUAGUGGGAGGUAAUCAUCUAAUCGACAUGCCCCAAAUAAGAUAAUAUAACUAAGUUAGGGUCCAAUCUGUAACCCUAAUUAGAAGGGUGUUAGCAUCGUGCCAUGGAUACUACCAACUACUGUGGAGUCAGUUCUAACUAACGAGUGACCCCUGAGAUCAGUCCUAAACUAGCAGGUGAUUCCUGAGUAUGUCAGUCCUAUCUAACGAAUGACAUCUCAUAACCUAUAUAGGCUACGUAAUUUUGGAACUUAGGGAUUGCUUCUAGGGACCCAGUCCUAACUAACUGCUAAGCCCCUAUCCCUAGGCUCACUCGGUGCUUAAUACUACUCCCAACUAAAAGACACUAAACUGAUUAUACUGAAUUGGACUGGACUGAUACUGAGUUUACUGAGUUUUCCUGAGUUUAGUAACUGACUGAGUUCUACUGGGUUUUGUAACUGACUGAGAGUAUUACUGAUCAAAACAUGACUAACACUAUUUUGUAACUGACACUAGCUCUAGGUAAACAGCUAAAUUUUUGGGUAUUAAAUGCCUUUAAGAGUCGAUAGCAUGAAAAGGAAAGCAAAGCAUAAUCUUCAAUAACAUAAUAAUGUUCACUUGGUCAUAAUUCAUUCAUAGAGAUAUUUCAUCAAACACUUGUAAUGCAUUAACUUGUACAUCAAUAGGGAAUACAUGUUAGCAUGCUAUAAUGACAUUAUUUCAUUCUCAUAGAUAAUUUAUCAAACAAAUGAGAAGCAUACUUAUUUUACUAAAUUAUAAACACUUAGGGUAAACAUGGUUAUAACAAUCAACUUGCAAAUUGAAGGGUUUAUCAUGAAUAUCAUGUAAAUCAACACAUAUAAUGAUUUAUUUCAUGAAGUCUUGUAAUUAAAUCAUGUACUAAGACCACGAACAUGAAGUCACUUCAAUUCAAGUAUGGAAGUUCAUAAUUCAACAAUCUUGUAAUUUGAAAACAUAUUUGUCGACUAUAUAGGUGAAAGGAUCCGAUAGAUGAACAACUAACAUACCUUAGAAGAUUCUUUCUUGAAUGUUCUUGGGGUAAUUUAUAGGAUUGUUCUUGAUUUUCUUGAACUAGGGCUUUUUCCUCUUGAGAGAGAAUAUUUUUAAUUUAGGAAAGAAUGAGUGAAUAAUGAGCUAAUAGGGUAUGUAGGGGCUUAAUUUCAUGUUUAUACUGAUUAGUGUUGUGGAAAAAGACCCAACUACCCCUAUGAAGAUUUAAAAAUUCAUCACUGAAAAAGCAAAUUUUAGACCCUGGCGCGACGCGGCGCUAUCAUACCAUGUCACUGGAAAAUGACAAUUAGGAACUGGGGGCCUGGAGCAAUGCGGUGGAAUCACGUUGCCCCUUUGAUUCUGAAUUUUAAACUCAGCGCGACGUGGUAGAAUCGCAUUGUAAGACUAAAAAAGGACAAUUUUGAACUGAUUUUGUGGAAUGAUGCAUCAAUAUCAUGAUGGAGCACUGGAAAGUGACAAUUGCCAUUUGCCUUGGCUCCACGAUGCGCUGACGUUCCAGGUGGUACACUGUCUUAAAAAAUGGCUCUAACUCUUCACCUGGGUAUCAGAUUUGGGUGAAUUUUAUAUUAUUAGAAAGCUAAUUCAAUUUCCUACACAAUGAUAGGCUCUAAAAUAAGAAAUAUAGAGUAUUUCAAAAAUUUUAUAUGGGAUUACUGGUGUACUAAGACUUAAAUUAAGCUAUACGGGGUAUUACAAAGACCUUGGAAAAACAUGACUUAAUUUUGGUAAUAGUGGAUUGAUUGAUGAAAUCACCUAACAUCAGUUUGGGUAGACUACGGCUCCCAAAAAUUAGUAAAAGCUACGUCAAGGAGUUAGUAACGCUUCAUGGGGUGCCCCUAAUUAUCAUUUCCAAUAGAGAUGCAAAGUAUACUUCUAGAUUUUGCGAUAGGUUGCACGAGGAUUUGCAUGCAAAGCUGACCUUUUACAUGACUUUUCAUCCUCAAAUUCAUGGACAGUUAGAGAGAAUGAUUCAGGUGCUAGAGGAUAUGUUGAGUGCCUAUGUUAUUGACUUUAGAGGUAAUUGGGACUAGAUUUUUUCAUUGUAAGGGUUUUUAUACAAAAACAACUCCAACUCCAACUUAAACAUGGUACCAUUCGAGGCACUAUAUGAAAGAAAAUUUUGGGCACCUAUUAGGUGAUUUGAAACUAAAGAUGUUAAAUCUUUGGGCAUUGACUUUGUGAAGGAGGCUUAAGGAAAAGUAAGAUUUAUUCAAACUAUGUUGUUAGAUGGUCAAACUAGAGAAAAAGCGUAUGCAAACCAUUAGGUAAGAAAUAUGGAUUUCAUGGUUGGUGAACAAAUAUUGCUUAAGGUGUUUCCCAUGAAGAGAGUCAAGAGGUUUAGUUAGAUAAUAAAGCUCAGCCCUUGGUAUAUUGGACUUUUAAGAUUCUUUAUGAUGUGGGUCUGGUUGUGUACCAUUUAGCAUUAUCUCUAGGUUUGUUAGGAUUCAUCUGUAUUCUCAAAUGGUUUCAUAGGGAUAGAUAUUAUAUUAUUAAAUAGGACUCGAUUAUAUUAUAUAAUGAUUUGGCUUAUGGGGAAGAAUCAGUGGCAAUUAUAAAUUGAGAUAAUUAGAAGUUGAGGAGAAAGGAAAUUUCUUUGGUUAAGGUUUAAUAGAAAUGUCAUCCAAUUAACGAAUCCACUUGGAAAACCUAUAAGGACAGGUAAGACAAGUACCCUCAAUUGUUUGGGAAUACAAGCACUCUCUUUUUCCUUAUCUCAGCUUAUUUUUACAUUUCACAUUUGAUCGUUUGGGGACAAAAUAUAGGUAUAUUGGUAUCUAUUGUCAUGGGAUAUUUUGUAGUUUUGUAUAAGUCUCUUAUUUAAAUUUUCAUGCUACAAUUGUUCUCAGAUUUAAAAUUAUAAAUUUUAGGCUAGUAUAGUUUUUGAUGAAAUCUGAGUGAGGUAUGGUCUAGGAAAAAUCAGGAAUUAAUUAUGUAAGUGUGGUGGAGUUCAACUUUAAUUUUAGUUAACUAAGAGGAUAAGAAUCUUGUAGGAUUUUACAAAAUUAAAUUUGGGUUAGUAAAACUCCCAAAAUUAAUCUUAGCAUAAAGGGUAUUAUUUGGGAUAUCUUACAAUUAAUGUAUGUUAUGAAAAAGAGGAGUUGUGGGGGAACCAGGCACUCUACCUUUCUCAUGUCACUAUAUCAAUAUGCAUGUCACUAUAGAAAUAUACCCAAAAGUAGAGAAAAUCCCAUUUUAUCAUCAAAUCAAACUGGUUAACGACCGUUAUAGCGACAUGUGCCACUAAAGCGACAUAUGGCGCUAUAUCUACAAAUAUAGUUGUUUUAUUUUUGAAAUUCUCAAAAAAUAGUUUAUUUUUUCAAAAACACAUGUUGGGGCAAGAAAGAGGCAAGUUUGGGCCAAAGUCACCAAUUAUCUAUUAUUUGGCUUCAUUAGGUAAGAAUUUUAUUCCUAUUAACUAGUAAAUUAAUAAUAUAGCCUAAGAAUUUCUAGUUUACGUAGUUUGGGGAAGGUUAAGGGUUGAUUUUAUGUGAUUUUAUGAUGCAAGGUAGAAAUUUUAUUAUAAAAUCAAGGGGUUUUGGUUAAUGAUCAUUACAUGUUGUUUAUUUACCAAUUUAUCUAUAAAAUUGGUCGUUUUAGGUGAAUUAUGGUAGAAAGGCCCUAGAACGGGGAGGAAAUGAUCAUGAACUUAGCCUUAGGGGUUGAGUAUGAGCUAUAAUCCCCAUAAUGGUUGGUCAUUUCAUUAAUUAUGUGUUCAUAUGUAUUUCUAUACUGAGAUCAAUCAAAAAUUAAACAAAAAGGCAAGGCUCAAGUUUAGUGAGUUGUGCAAGCUUGGAUUAAGGUUGGUGAUUGUAUUAUAGUUAACACCAAUUUAUAUUAUAUGUGCACAUUAACUACAUCUUAGUAUGUCUUCUUAGUGUAUGUUGUUUGGUGUGUUUAAUUAAAAUGAAUUUAUCUUAUUAUAUAAUUUGACCUACCUUAUUCUUAAAUAGGGAAUCUUUUGAUAUUUAGAACAUUCUUAUGGCUUAUAGGUGGAAUAAGGUUGGCCGACACUUGUGUCUGAGAUUUAGGUACAUUGGUGAAAUUUGUCCCCUGCAGGUCAUGACUAAAGGGUACUUAUCAUACCUUUAACGUGUAUGUAUGAGGUUACCGUGAGUUUUAUAGUUCAAUAAGUUAACCGAAGAAUAUAUUUAUAUGUUUGAUAAUGUUUAAAUUGUCGUGACUUCUUUUAACUUGGAUUUAUUGAACAUGACUUGGUUGUAAAUGGAUUGACUUAUUUCUUGUAAUCCUAAGUUGCUUCAUUGUUACUUAUUGUGUUAGUUGUAGGUUAGGAUGAGCAUGGAGUAACUGAUUGUACUAUGUUUUGGUUAAGUAUGCAUAUUCUCAUCUUGGUUUGGCCAAAUGACCCUAUCAGUACACUAUUGUUUCUUGAUUACUAAUAAUACACAUGCUCUUUCUUUUGUUGAAUGCAACAUAUAUUUCAGCGGCUCCUGCAAGAUCUCACUUGUGAUUCUAGAGUUUGAUAUGAAAUUUAGGGGUGAGCAGCAUAUUUGGGCCACCAUUAAAUCUUUAUUUUAUGAUAUUAUUUUUGUUAGAACUGAUGCAUCUCCCUUAUUUAUUUGGGAUUUCUCCUUUCCUUGACAUCCUAGAAAUUUGACUAUUUUCUUUUCUUUUGAAGUUUUUUAUGCACCCUAGACUUUCAAGGACCUUGCAUGUUUUUCUUUGGAAUCUUCAAACUUGAAUCUUAUUUUGUAAUAUAGACAUCUUCAGUGCACUCAACAAGUAGGGACAAAAGAGGGAUAGAGUUUGUAAGAACUCAGAGGGUUAUAGGCUAUGAUGGGGUUGUCCAAUGAAAAGGCUUUAGGCUCGGAAGGGACAUACUGAGGAUUAAUAUCAUUUUUCCGGUAUUUAAAGGCACAAAGAGAUCAAAGAAGGCUUAAAUUCCUUUCUCAAACCAGAUAUUACACAGAAUUUCACCUUAACAAACAUUUGGGCCAAGUAUAGAUCAACAGUGCAAUGCAAUUGAAUUUAAUCUAAUAACUCACCAUACAAUGCACAUAAAACAAUGAGGUUGGUAUUAUUUUUACCUUGAAUGCAUGCAAGAAAAGUCUUUUGACUAUUACCACAGUAUGAAAGAGAGGUACCAAAAAAAACUAAGGUUCACCACAAAGUUAAGCCUCUCAAUCAUAUCCAUUAUCGCUCAUGCUUCUAUUUAUUUUGGUAUGAACAAAUCCAAUAACAUGAUUCUAAUAAUUUUAUUAUUUUUUAUAAAUAAGGAAUACUAAACUCAUGAAAGGCUUCCUAUGUAUCUCAUCCCGAAGAUUAAGAAUUUAGUGAGUAUAGUUUUUGCAAAUAUGAUGUAUAAUAUAUGAACAAAAAUAAUGAAUACAAAUAUAUAGAUAAACUCAAAGAAAUGCCUCAUAUUGUCUGGUCUCAACCGAUGUCUUUAUCUAAAUAAUAUCGCCUAAUUAUUUAUAGGGACAACAUAUUGUAAUACCCCGUACUUCUACUUAGCUUGAAAUCGUUCCAAGAAUGCUAGAAACUUUCUUUGCAAGAUGAAUCCACUUUUAUACUUGUGAUAUUUCUAAGAUUUUCACUUUCUAUCAUGUGUGAAAUUAAAUUAACUUUCCAACGAUACCAAUUUUAUCCAAAUCCAACAUUGAAAAAAAAAGUUAGGGACAAAAAAUAGAAGGCAGUCAAAAUCGCCUAGGUUUGACGGUGAGAACCGAUGGACCAUUGAGCUAGCGACGGACCUUUGCCCAAGCCAUCACAGUGGAGGAAAUGAGACUACCUUCUACCUAAGAAAAACGGCUAAGACCAACGGACCAUCGAGCUAGUGAUGGACCAUUGCACAAGCCCUCGCACGAGAGGCAGUGAACCCCUAAUCUGAUCAGGUGUGACAACCAGGACCUACGGACCAUCGAACCAGCGAUGGACCAUCACACCCACCGUCAUAUAGUUUAUUUAUUUAUUUUAAUAUUUUUAAAAAGGUUAUUUGCAUUUUUUCCACUCGUUUUAACCCCUAAUUAUAUUAGACCAAGGUUCAUAAGUUCAUUAUCCAUCUACAACAUCAAAUUAGCAUUUUCUCUCAAACAUAAUCCCCAAGAACAAGAUCCAAAUCAUUCUUCAAGAAACUAAGGGAUUCCAAGUUCUUCAAGUCCAAGAACUUCAACAAACUCACAACCCAGGUAUGUCAUGUAUUGAUUCAUGGGUCCCUUUCACCCAUGAAGCCCAAGAAUCUCUUUUCAAAAAACAAGAUUUGUGUAUUUAUGAAUGUUCAUGAUUUAAAUUGAAUUGAAAUUCAUGUUCAUGAUGUUGUGGAGUUUUGAUUCAUGUUUGAAAUUACAUAUUCCAAUGAUUGACCCUAGGAUAUGAUGAUUUGCAUAACAAUCAUGAUAAACCCUUAAAUUUACAUGUGGAUGGAUGUAUCCAUGAUUAUUAGAUGUGUUGAUAAUUGUAUAACCAAAGUAUGCUUCCCAUGUAUUUGAUUAAAUGCCUAUAUGAAGGAAAAGUGCCAUAAUAGUAUGAUAAUAUGAAAUCCCCAUUCAUGUACAAGUUCAUGCAUGUUAAGUGUUUGAUAAAAUAUCUUAGUCAAUGAAUUAUGGAUAUAUGUGUAGCCAUUGUGCUGCUUUAGCACUUGUACUUCAUGAAAUCUCCAUCUUAUUAUAAUAUGGAUUGUCGAUGUUGGUCAUGUAUUCAAAAAAGUCAUGCUUUGUCAGUUUCAUGCUAUCGAGUCCUGAGGGUACUUGUACCUGACAAUUAGUUGUGUUCCCAGAGCUAGUGUCAUGUUUUCAAGAUACUCUCAGUCAAGCCAUGUUCAUAAAAAUUCUGUCAGUCAUGUGACUCAGGAAAACUCAGUAAACUCAGUAAUCUCUGAAAUAUCAUAAAUCUAGUAAUCUUAGUAGCAUUCCAUUAGUCUAUGGAAAUUCAGUUAACAUAGUCCAAUCAGUUCAGUGUCUAUUCAGAUGGGAGUAGAAAGUAGCAUCGAGCGAACCCAAGGAUGGAAACCCACUUGUUAUAUGAGGGUGUAAUUCUUAGAAGAAAUCCCUGCGUUCCAGAACUACAUAGCUAGCAUAGUUUAAGACAUUGUAGCCUAUUAUAUGAAGGUAGAUGAGGUGUAUUAACCUGUUAUAUAAGGGUUCCCACUGUUCUAACUAGAGUUACCUGUUAUAUGAGGGUUACUCACAGAUUGUCCUUACUAGUGGCAUGGUAUUGACACCCUUCUAAUUGGUAGUACAGAUUGGACCCCAAGUUAACAUUAAUGUAUUAUUUGGGGCAUGUCGAUUAGAUAACUACUUCCCAUAGUUUCAUUACAGAAUUAGGAUUGUCAGAUGCAAUCAACUCAGAACAGUACAAAACUCAGCUAGUUCCAUCAAAACUAUGACUGUCAAAUAUAGCCAUUCAGUCUUAGUAAUAAAACUUAUAUAGUUCUAUAAUAUUCAAGACUAUCAGAUACAGUCAACUCAAAAUAGUACAAAACUCAGCUAGUUCCAUCAGAACCUAGACUGUCCGAUACAUUCAUUCAGUCUCAAUAAUUGAACUCAGAUAGUUCUAUAGGAUUCAAGACUGUCAGAUACAAUCAAAUCAGAACAGUAUGAACUCAGCUAUUUCCAUCAGAACCUAGACCAUCAGAUACAGUCGUUCAGUAGCAAUUAUUUCAGUUAUACAGAUAUCAAUAUCUCAUGUUAUCAGCACUCCCACUUAGUAAUUAUAUUAUCACGAGCUCACUUAUAAUUAUUAUAUAGUCGUGCAUAUAUUCUGACAUUCAUGUUAUGCAGUCAGUUAGUGUAGUUCAUACAUAAGAACCCUUUUACGUUCAACCUACCACACAUACAUACCAGUAUAUUCAAAUGUACUGACGCAUUUACACUAUGGUGUUUUAUACCAUAGAUUCAGAAUCAUGAGCUCUAGAGUAUCAGUAGUUUUCUAGUCUCAGCAGUUAGAGUUAGCAGUGAGUCCUUAUCCUUCGAGGACAUGACCAUUACUUUAUUAUCUCAUUAAUUAAUUUAUUUCAGUAGUUGGAGUUACUUGGGGACAUAUCCCAUCAACUCCUUAUUCAGACAGUUCAGUCAGUUAGAGCCUUUUCAGACUAUCAGGUUCAGACAAUUUAUUUCAGGUUUUGUUUUAGUAUUGUGAUACCAUAUCAUUCAGAGAUUAUUUUAUUAUUUUUGAACCUUAUGGCCUUAUAGCCUUUAUUUUCGCAUUUAUAUGGUAUAUUAUGCAGUGCUCAGGUACAGAUAUCAAUCAUGGGUUAGCUUGUGGUCUUUCGGAGUCAUGUGCACCGUGUAGCAUUUCGAGUACCAGAUUCGGGGCAUUACAAACUUGGUAUCAGAGCCUAAGGUUCAAUAGAGUCCUAGGAAGUCUGAAAGCCACAUCUAGUAGAGUCUUCUACAUGGGUGUGUUGCACGCCACAUUUAUGUGCAGGAGGCUAUAAGAUAUUUUAGGAAUAGCUUCCCUUCUUUCAGUAUUCAUGUCGUGCCAGUGAGCAUAAUCUCAAGUCAAUCUCUCAGUCUAAUCCAUUUCUCUCUUUCUUCUAUAGAACAUUCCUCCUACAAAAAGAAAUGGGAAACUUGACAUGUGGCCCAAGUGACACUUGAAGUGGGGUAGGACUUACAACUUUUGGAAUCGACUCAAACAGUGAGGAUUAACUCAUGCCCCAGUUUCUUUUGACUGGGUAAUUCUAAAUUGUUUAUUUGGUUGGACCGAGCCCAGAGUAGGGCAGGCUACGUAUCUCACCCUCGGGAGAGGAGAAUCAGAUCACACUUAGUACUGACAGAUUGUUCUUUAUUUUGAUAUGAUUUUUCUCUUUUCUUUCUUUUUUUUAUUGACUCCUUUUCUCUUUAGGAUUUUCUUUUCUGACUCUAUUUUCCUUGACAAUCUUCUCUUUUCUUUCUUUUUGAACACAUUCUUUCUCUCUUUUUAUUUUGGAUUUUUGACUCCAUUUUUGCUCGACACAUUUUUUGAAACUUUUCAACUUUAUCUUGAUUCCAAUAGAGGGAUAUGAAAGAAAAUAGAACCAAUGCUCAAUGGGGUGAACAACGGAUGACACAAUGUUUGGAUAGCAAAAAUAAAAUGCCUUCGUCGUAUCAAUCCUUGAAAAUGCAAGUACACAUUAUGCAAUAUGAAGUGAAAGAUGAAAACCAUUUGUGACAUUUUAUUUUUAGCACUAACUUUAACUGAGCUUGUGCGUCGCUACUUCUUCUGCAAACUCCACCAUUGUCUUACAUUCCUCUUAUCGAAGGAUCUAUCCUUUCAUAGAGCUAUUCAUCUUCCAGUUUCUCUUAAUAUAGGGAUCGCGCAUCCACUAUCUGACCUAAUCGAGCUAUGAUUUUCAAUUGAUGACCAAGUUAUUCUUAUGAAUCUCAAAAUAAUUGCCUUAGUUUUGAAAGAAGACUUCAACAUGGUCACCAACUGUCUUAACAUGAUACCUAUUUCUCAGAUGUUUUUUCUAACUUUAGCCCUCUGAUUAAAAGUUCAUGCUAAAAUUGGAUUUUAAGAUCUAGCUGAAAAUCCACAAGCAUGUAAUAUCACUAGAGCCAACAUAACAUGUAUUAUGUGAAGAAAAUAAACAAACAACACAUGUUUAGAGAACAAAAGGAAAAGGGACACUGCAUUUAGUUAAAAUAAAAGAUAGAAGGGUUUGAACAUAAAUGACAAAGGGACAAAACAAGAUAGAUCCCAGACUACAACCCUGAAAUAAUUCAAAUAACAAAAAAUAAAACAAAACAAACUACCAAACAUCCAUCCUAGAAGGGAGAUGAGUGACUUCCCAAUUGAGGAGGCUGACAUCUUAGCCACUGGUUUGCACAUCAGCAUGACUAGAGCUUUCACCACUGUGAAUGUUCUACACCAUAAUCAACUUAUCUUGAAUCACCUUUUCUAUUUCUCUUUUCAAAGAACGAUAAUCUUUAAUACUGUGACCCUAAAUGUCAGAAUGAUAUACACAUCGUACAUUAGAAUUAAAACUUCUUGAAUGCGGAUCAGGAGUAUACCCAAAGAGAGUAUUGAUCAUGCCCCACUGUACCAAUCUCUGAAAUAAACUGGCAUACGACUGUCCAAUUAGUGUGAAACUAUAUGUGAAACUAUCUCUACACUUCUGUCUCUUCUCAAUAUUUGAUUUGGAUUGAACAUCGGGCCUAGAAGGUCUUUGGUAUAUUUGUGGAGUUGGAGGAUGACUCUAAGGAGUUGGUGCAUACCAUUGUGAGUAAGAAGGGAGUUAAACAUAUGGUUGCACGCAAUAUACUAGAUAUGGAGGUGGGGAAAUCGAGUAUAAUAGAUUUGGGGAGGGAUUACAGAGAGCUUGGGUAUGAACUUGUGCAUAAGACUGAUGAUAAUGACGAGGUGGUCUUCUUCUAUGUGCUCGUUGUCCAACUAUAAUAUCAAGUUUAUCUUUCUCAUCCUUCUUCCUUCCAGUUUUCAUAACUUGAUUGCAAUAUUUUCCCAAAUGUUUCACGGAUUUAUCAUGUCCAUCUUGCUCCUAAAAUUUCAACAUCUCAAGGAUUGGAGGAAGGUUAACACUUGAAUACAUGCCCCAGUCUUUGUAUGAAACAUCUUUUUUACCCGUAGGUCCUAGGGAACUUUUCAUAGCCUUUUCUGCACUCUUCAUUUUUUCAACCAUUUUUCCUGGCUCUUCUGACAUGCUAGACUUCUUGUUAAGAAAUUUUUUGGUCCAGUUAACUUAAAAGUAGGCUCAGGAGUAUAGCAAUGAUCAGCAAGAGUAUUUAACAUGGAUCCACUAGUUGCAUAGGGAAGCACAACCAUUGGCGGCUAGCUAAUGUGGUUGUCUACACAGAGGAUUGAGCAACAAAAUCACAGAAGGUAUGUGAUGCUAUGAAUAUGGUAGGUUUAUACUGAGGAGUUAAUAAACAGUGGUGGAAGUAUUGAAAUUCUUUUGGCUUGUAAUGAAUUCUGAGUCAUGUUACAGUGCAUCAACAAUAAUGGGAAACUGACUUUACGACUUUAGUAGAAAACUUGAGGUAUUUGUAGGAUCAAUAGCAGAAAAUGGAAAGGGAGGCAACCCACUGGCCCAAGAUCAAUACAUUUCCAUCAUUUUCUAUCUUAGUCUCAAAUUCUCUUCCUUUAAACUCUCAUUUUCCUGACUCUUUAUUUGAUCCAUGAGGUUACUCUCUAUAUCCUUGUUGGACAAAGCUAAACCUUUCUAAGAUUUGGUGUGAUGUGGAGCACCAGCUACAAUGUCACAAUUCCAUAAACCAACCACCUUGAACUAACUAAAUAAGAGAUAACAAACGUGUUAGAGUUAAACACUUUCUCAAAACCUUUUUCUUUUUCUUUUCUUUAGAAAAGAUCACUGAACCCAAGAAGGGCGCCUAUAUAUCUCACUCUCGAGAGAGGUGAAUCAAGUGUACAUAAUUUGUGAAGCUUGGCCACAAAAGGGCUAAAUUUUAAGAAGAAAAGAAAAUAACAAUUUGUCAAAAGAAUUGACGAAAAUCUUUUUAAAUUUUUCAGCUUUAACAUCCCUAUACAAAAUGAAAUCUAUGAUUGCCAAAGAAAAUCUUUUUGGGUUUUUGAUUUUUAAUUUCAUAUGAAAAUGAAACUUGAAGCUAUUAAAGGAAAAUCUUUUUGUAGUUUUCUUUUAAAGAUGAACAUAACAUCUACUCUAAAUGAAGAGUGAAGAAAAUAUUUUUGGAUUUUUCAGAUUCCUAUACGAAAUGAAACCUAUGAAUACCAAAGAAAAUCUUUUUGGGUUUUAGAUUUUGAAUUUCAGAAGAAAAUGAAACUUGAACUUAUUAAAGGAAAAUAUUUUUUGUUGUUUUCUUUUAAAGAUGUAUAUGAAACACCUACUCUAAUAAAGAGUUAAAAAAAUCUUUUUGGAUUUCUUUAAAUAAGAUCACCGAACCCUAGAAGGGCUGCCUACGUUCUCACUGUCAAAAGAGGAGAAUCAGGUGUGCGUAGUUCAUCCAAAUUGGAUAAUUAAAGAUUAAAUAAUAAACUAAACCUUGACUUGAGAAACAUGACCAAAGAUAGACAAUGAAAAAAAACACGGCAAUAAAAUCUUUUUGAGUUUUUAAUUUUGACACUUCAUAUAAAAAUGAUACCAACAACUAUGAAAGAAAUUUUUUUUUGGUAUUUUUAUUAUAUGAAAUGUAAAAAACUCCUACCAUCUUUUGAAUUUUCCUUUUAUAAAUAGUUUCUAUUUAAAAAAAAAAUAUUUUAGGAGUUUUCGAAUUGUGAAUACUUACUAAAGGAACAAAAGGAAAAUCUUUUUGAUGUUUUUGUUUUUUUAAGAAAACGAAUGCAAAAUGUAAAACUCUUUUUGAAUUUUUGAAUUGUGAAAAACAAAAGUCAUAAAGAACUCUAAACACUACAAAACUCUUUUUUUGAUUCACCUUUUUUUUUGAAUUUUUCUUGCCUAAACACAUACUCCUUUAAUUCUAACAAAUGUUUUCCCUAAACCAGUAUAAAGAUGCAAUAAUUAACACAUAGGGAUGCUUUAGGGGUGAGUCUUCUACAAAGGACCAAGUGGGUCCUACUAGGUCUCAAUAUGAUGCAGAUAAGCAUGACCUAAAGGUUGACCUAUAUUGGGGUCCACUAACAAUGUCGUUCGGGGGAGCAUAUGGUCGAUAGUGGCUGCUUUGCUUUCCACCUACUCCAUAUAUCCGAUGGUGCUCCCUCCUAAAAUAAGGGUGACGCAGCUACAGUUCAUGUACACGACGUGUACUCCGAGACUUAUUGCAGAAAGAAUUUCAAUGUUGUACACGACUUGUCAUCCCAUGGCUCUGCUUCCCUUACUUGAUUGCAAUAUUGUCCCAAAUGUUUCACGGAUUUCUCAUGUCCAUCUUGCUUCUCAAAUUUCAAUAUCUCAAGAAUUGGAGGAAGGUUAACACUUGAAGACAUGCCCCAGUCUUUGUAUGAAACAUCUUCUUUACCCGUAGGUCCUAGGGAACUUUUCAUAGCCUUUUCUGCACUCUUCAAUUUUUCAACCAUUUUUCCUGGCUAUUCUGACAUGCUAGACUUAUUGUUAAGAAAUUUUUGUGGUCCAGUUAACUUAGAAGUAGGCUCAAGAGUAUAGCAAUGAUCGGCAAGAGUAUUGAACAUGGAUCCACUAGUUGCAUAGGGAAGCACAACCAUUGGCGGCUAGCUAAUGUGGUUGUCUACACAAAGGAUUGAGCAACAAAAUCACAGACAGUAUGUGGUGCUAUGAAUGUGGUAUGCUUAUACUAAGGAGCUUGAUAAAGAGUGGUGGAAGUAUUGGAAUUCUUUUGGGUUGUAAUGAAUUCUGAGACAUGUUACAGUGCAUCAACAAUAAUAGGAAACUGACUUUGAGAUUUUGGUAGAAAACUCGAGGUAUUUGUAGGAUCAAUAGCGAAAAAUGGAGAGGGAAGCAACCCACUGGCCCAAGCUUGAUACAUUUCCAUCAUUUUCUAUCUUAGUCUCAAAUUCUCUUCCUUUAAACUCUCAUUUUCCUGACUCUUUAUUUCAUCCAUGAGGCACUCUCUAUAUCUUUGUUGGACACAGCUAAACCUUCCUAAGAUUUGGUAUGAUGUGGAGGACCAUCUACAAUGCUGCAAUGCCAUCAACUAACCACCUUAAACUAACUGAACAAGAGAUAACAAACGUGUUAAAGUUCAACACUUUCUCAAAACCUUUUUCUUUUUCUUUUCUUUGGAAAAGAUCACUGAACCCAAGAAGGGUGCCUAUGUAUCUCACUCCCGAGAGAGGAGAAUCAAGUGUGCAUAGUUCGUGAAGUUUGGCCACAAAAAGGCCAAUAAAACUCUUUCAUUUUUUUUUUGAAAUUUUAAGAAGAAAAUAAAAUAACAAUUUGUCAAAAGAAUUGAUGAAAAUCUUUUUGAAUUUUUCAGCUUUAACAUCCCUAUACAAAAUGAAAUCUAUGAUUACCAAAGAAAAUCUUUUUGGAUUUUUGAUUUUUAAUUUCAUAUGAAAAUGAAACUUGAAGCUAUUAAAGGAAAACCUUUUUGUAGUUUUCUUUUAAAGAUGUAUAUGACACCUACUCUAAAUUAAGAGUGAAGAAAAUCUUUUUGGAUUUUUUAGAUUCCUAUACGAAAUGAAACCUAUGAAUACCAAAGAAAAUCUUUUUGGGUUUUAGAUUUUAAAUUUCAUAUGAAAAUGAAACUUGAACCUAUUAAAGGAAAAUCUUUUCUGUUGUUUUCUUUUAAAGAUGUAUAUGAAACACCUACUCUAAUAAAGAUUUAAAAAAAUCUUUUAGGAUUUUUUGAAAUAAGAUCACCGAACCCUAGAAGGGCUGCCUACGUAUCUCACGCCCGAAAGAGGAGAAUCAGGUGUGCGUAGUUUGUCCAGAUUGGAUAAUUAAAGAUUAAAAAACAAACUAAACCUUGACUUGAGAAACAUGACCAAAGUUAGACGAUGGAAAAAAACACGGCAAUAAAAUCUUUUUGAGUUUUCAAUUUUAACACUUCACAUAAAAAUGACACCAUCAACUAUGAAAGAAAUUUUUUUUUUGGUAUUUUUAUUAUAUAAAAUGUACAAAACUCCUACCAUCUUUUGAAUUUUCCUUUUAUAAAAAGAUCCUAUUGAAAAAAAUAUAUUUUUGGAGUUUUCGAAUUGUGAAUACUUACUAAAGAAACAAAAGGAAAAUCUUUUUUAUGUGUUUGUUUUAUUAAGAAAAUGAGUGCAAAAGGUAAAACUCUUUUUGAAUUUUUGGAUUGUGAAAAACAAAAGCCAUAAAGAACACUAAAAACUACAAAACUCUUUUUUGAUUCACUUUUUUUUCGGAAUUGUUCUUGCCUAAACACACGCUCCUUUAAUUCUAACACAAGGACCAAGUGGGUCCUACUAAGUCUCAAUAUGAUGCAGAUAAGCAUGACCUAAAGGUUGACCUACGUUGGGGUCUACGAACAAGGUUGUUCGGGGGAGCACUUGGUCGAUAGUGGCUGCUUUGCUUUCCACCUACUCUAUAAAUCCGAUGGCUCUCCCUCCUAAAAUAAGGGUGACUCAACUACAGUUCGUGUACACGACGUGUACUCCGAGACUUAUUGCAUAAAGAAUGACUCGGGUUAUGCACAUGAUGCUAGAUAUAAAGCGGUAACACAUAAAAAAGUAUAAACAUGUAUCACGUAGGCACUCAAUAAUGAUAAAGUAGUAACACAAACACUAAUACAAGCAAUGUUUAUACACCUACAAUGUCAAACUAAGCCGAUACAACUCCAAAAAAUAAGCUCGAAUUCUAAAAAAUCCUCAGCAGAGUUGCCAGAGCUGUCACACCUAUUUUUAUACCAAAAAGAUUCAGCUUUUAAGUUUGAAAAGGGUUUUUAUUAUUAAAGUAAAAAAAUAAAGAUUUGCUUCAAAAAAAAUUCAUUUCACAAUUAAAUUUAGAGUCGCCACUUGGCAUAAUCAAGUGUGCCAAGUCACCUUUGAAAAAUCAUUUUUAAAAUGAUUUGACUCUUUAAACUGAUUUGCAAACAGAGAUUAAGAAAUUUUGUUGACCAAGGAGAAGGUGUCAAGAACCCCUCGAUCCCGUGCUUCAACCACGGUCUCUUGGUGAAGUGUAUUGGCAAGUAAGUCACUAUGAAUAUAUAAACCCACAAAAGACACAUAAAACAAGCAAACAAACACAUCAAACAAUAAUCCAAAAAACCAAAAUAAUAAUGUCCAGUCCAAUAAUACAGUCUUAAAUAAAUAAAAUCGAAAAAAUGUGAAUAAUAUAAAUCUUAUUCUAAACUAGUCCUAGACUAAGAUCCACCCAAUGCCUCAGUCCUUCGACACAAAUAUCCUCCGAAUACAAAAUACUUUGAGGCAUUCCCCGACGAAUAAACACAAAUAUCUCGGGGCAUUCCCUGGCCCAAUGAUACAUUUAAUCCAAAUAGCAAACUAAAACCAAACCAUUCAUCAUAUUUCAUAUUCAAAUAUUCAACAAAAUCAUUUAAUCCUAAAAUUUUGCCUACUCGGAUUUACAUUUGCCUAUCCGCUUCAACAUAUCAUAAUUCUACCACGUUCCAACAUAAUUCAUGCUUAUUCCAAAUUAAACAAAAACAACAAUGAACCAAAAUUGAACUUCAUUCACCCUUCUCACCAAUUUCUCAAUUCCAUCCCAAACAACCAAUUUUACUUUUCAAACGAGAUUUCAUUUUCAUUUCACCAUCUAAACCAUAAUCAAGGGAAUCAACCGUAAAUCAAAACAAACAUGCAUUCAUCACCAACAAGGAUCAAACAAUAAUAAUAUUCAAUCCAAAAAUAGCAAAAUAUAGUAAAUAAUAAAAUAAAAGAGGUAAAGAGUAGAAUUGGACCUUCUGAUAAUUUGCUUUUGUUGAUAAUGAUAUUUAAGAGAACCUGGAUUUAGAAUCCCGAAUAGAAACCUACACAGCGAACCCAACUCGUAUCAAUAAAUAAUGACCCGAAUGGAUUUGAAUCCCAAGAAAGAAGAAGUAGCACUCAAAUCGAUAUCAAAAUCAUGAAAAUUUAAGAAAGCCCGUAUCCAAGAUUUUGAAACACAGACAAACAGAUCGAAAAUCAAGUUGUUACCGAAGAAAAUUGAGAAAAACCGUGGGAGAUAUCGCUGUAUUUUUUACUAGAUCUCACCGGAGUCGUCUUGUUUGAUCGCUGCUCUGUAUUUCGCAGUGAUGGAGACCAAUUUGCAGCUUCGAUGAUGCCUAAAUCCGUCGAACGAACAUUAAUUUCAGCAACUUUGAAAUUAAAUCGAUCGAACAACGACUACAAACCAACUCCGACAAAAUUUUGCCAAAAAAACAAAAGAGAUGAUCGGAUUUCUCAAAAUUACUUCAUUCUCGACCCUUUUUUACAGUGUGUGCGCGUGUUUGCAGGUAUUAUGAGGAUUGUGAAUAUGGAUUCUCAGAAUUGCUGUUGGAAUCAUGAGUAUAUGAGAUGAGUGUGUGUAUAUUCUAUUAUUGAAAGAAAAUGGAGCCGCUACUCCUCUAUUUUUUGAUCUUCAAAAGAAAAAAAAUGGAGAUGAGAAUGGUUACCCCAAACAAUGGAAAAGCUUCUAUAUAUUAAUGGUAUUUCCUUUUAUUCCCCCCUCAAUGAAUUGUGUCCAUUGCUCUUAAAGGAAAAAAAUGACAAAAGUGUGAGUUUUUUAGGGGUGGGGACCACGUAGGUAGUGAGGUAGGGUAGGAAGUGAGAUGGAUGAGGGGCGUGAGUUAGUUGAGAUAAAUUUUGUUAGGAUAAGAGAAUAUUAGGGAUUUGAUUUGUUAGGGAUUUAUUGAAAUUUUAUUAUUUUUUUGUAUUUUUGUGGGGUAUAAUCGCAUGGGUGAGGGUGUAUGAUAAUGUGAGAUGGAAAAUGGAUGAAUUGGGUUUUAGAAGGGAGAAAAUUAGAUGUCUGCACUUACCAAUUUAGGACAACACAUCUAUUAACUUAUACAUAUACGUAGAAACUCAAUUAAGAAUUAAACAACACCUCAAGCAUGAUAUCAUCAUUCACAACUACCUUGCACCAUAAAGUCAAGUAAACCAGAGAAACAGGGAAUGAAUACAUAUACUCAACAAAUAAAUCCAUGACUAGUGAUGACUAACUCGACCUUUUCAUAAUUAUAUUUUCAUUUCACUUCAACAUUUAAUUAUAUUAUUUAUGUAUGGAUAUUUCCCGGACCACUCAUGGUUCUAAAUAAUAAUAAUAAUAUCAAUUGGUUCACUGAGGGAACCCAAUAUAUCAACAACAAUGGAACUUGAUCCAGUCAUGGAACCGUCAAACUUACCAAAACCUUGUACACACAAACUAUGGGUCUUAUACUUGUCCACUAGCCAUGAUAACUUAGUCUUAUAUUAUAAAUCCAUGUAACAAUAGAUUCAAUCAUAAUAUGAGUAGUACAACCACACUUGCAUUUAAAAUAAGUCACUUUACACAAUCUCAUUUUAGGUGAUUAAGCAACUUGUAAUACCAUCCAAUAAGUCAAUACACACCUUAUGUAUUGCAGCAAGUAGACAAAAGGGGUAGUUUACAAGAACAUAUGAAUUAAAUUAAUUCUCAACUACAUUGAACCACCGUCUACCCCUUUCUAGUAAAUAUAAUAUCUGGUCUAAAUAACACUUAGAACAAGUACACAUAAAAGUAGUUGUAAAACUAAUCUUAGACAACCAGUAUCUAGAAUACCACACAAAUAUUCUAUGCAAAAUUUAUUGCUUCCAACCUUUCAUCUUAUAUCUAGUUCCUAUCCUAUUCACACCAUCAAUCUAUUAAACUGGGAACGAAACAUUCAUAUCUGACCUACCAACACCUACCAAUGUAUCUACAACACAUUACCACAACCAACCAUUUCCACUCAUUAAUUGAUUAAUUAAGAACAAAUAAUUAUAGAAAAACAUACAUAACAUCACAAAACUCUUUCAACAAAAUUCAUCUUAUUCACAUAACCUGAAAAAACGAGUUUAUCCAUCUAUACACCUUGCUUGUAGGACUAUGCAUUAAAUCUUCCAUCAAUCUUUGUUAUGCAUACAUUUUCUAAUACAGGUCUGUGCUACUCAAUUAAACCUAGCCCACCUUGGCAUAAAGCAACUAAUAUGCAGUUAUGAACUUGAGAUUCUGUCUCUAUUCUUGUGAUUAUUGAGUGAAAUCCAUGAGAAAGCAUUAUGUUCUAACCCUUUAGAGUGUAUUUCUUCUCCAUUGCUCUAGAACUUUGAGGCAACCCUAGUGUGUUUUAGAAUAAAGCCUUCUACUUGUUUGCAAUUAAAGGGACAAUGAAAAAUAAGGAAAAAGUAGGAGUAUUUCUUAUUACCUCAAGUUUUUAAGCUCUUGAUCCAACAAAAGAUAGUCAUUAUAUUAUCUUUCCAAUGCUACCGAUCUCAUCUUAAUCUGGUAUCAUAGUCACAAGUUAUGGAAAAUUAUCUGAUAAACUACCAAACUACCAGUGACAACGGCCCUGGCAAUGACUCAUUGCCAAACAUAAUGAGUCAUAGCAAAAUUCAUUGUCACGGUAGUAAAAUGAGGGACUAAGACUUUAUCCCAGUGAGGACGAGUCCAUCAUAUGACUCGUAAUAAUUCUAAAUGAGUCGUGAGGUAGACCCAUCAUCAAUAUAGUAAAAACCAUGGGAUCAAUUCCAUGAAAAUGACUCCUCAUAAUGACUCAUGACCAAACCUAACAAGUCAUUACCUAAACUAUGUCGACUAUUUCCUAAAAUUUCUGAUGUACUAAGAAGGGCUUUUUGGUCUUUUUUUAUCAUUUGAUAACUCCUAACACACAUUGUAUAGGAUUCCCUAAGGGUGGCAUAUAAGCCUAAUUUCCCCCAAAGUCCCCAAAAAAUCACAAAACCAAGAAAAAUGAGUUAUUAUUUUUCUCUGAAGCCAAGUUAGAGUUCCUCAAUCUCAAGUUGAAAUUCCAAGGAUUUCUCCAAGGCUACCAUCUCUAGGUAUGUGGGAUUUCAUGAAUGGGUUCCUUCCACCCAUUGAGUCCAAAAGGAUUCUUAAAUUCUCAAGUUUAAUUCCCUUUUAAGUUUUGGGUUCCAGGUCAAAUAUGAGUUUUCUUAAUUUCUUUAAUUUAUUCCUAUAACUAAACCAUGAAGAUAUGUUUUUCCAUAGGCUUAGAAUCUUCUUAUACCUAAAAUCAUGAAUUUCCCUUAGUAUUGAUCAAUCAUUGAGUUUUGUCUUGAAUUAUGAAAUUUCCUAUUAUGGUCAGCUUUCAAUAUUAUCACAUUCAGUUGCAUUAAUCAGAGCUGGUGGAUUAUGAAUACUCGAUACCUAGGGAUUCAUGCAUAUAUGAUGUUCCAGCAUUUGAUGAAAUAAUUCACAUUUUUAACGAGGGAUAAUUAUUGUUUACUAGUAAUUAUUAGGGUAUUUGAUGAUUGUGCUACUUAUUCUCAGAAAACAAAUUCAAAAUCAAGAACAACUUGGAAAAGUUAGUACUAGAUGGAUGCGAUGGACCAACUGACAGACCAUUAGACCUGUGAUAGACCAUCAACAUGGAUUUCACCACUUGGGCAAAAAAUAGAUGAUCUGAUGGAGGGCAACGAUCAAAGUGACAAACCGUCGAACAUGCAAUGGGUCAUCUCUUUGGUCGUCGUAUGUUAAGAAGAUCUAUAAAAUUUUUAAAGAUCAAGGAUGAGAGGAACAAUGGACCAUCAGACUUGUGAUGGGCCGUCGCUCUGACCAUCGACCAUAAUAGCAAAACAGUAUUGAACUAGAUAACUCCCAAUGGACUGACUAAUGGACCAUUAUUUGUCAGAUAGUCCGUCAGGCAUGCCGUCGACAAUGAUGUGGCAGCCUGAGUUGAAUUAAUAAUUGCAACUUUUAAGAAGCCUAUAAAUACCUAACUUAGGGUCAUAUUAGGGAUCUUUUGGCUAUUGGCUGAAGUUGUAACAUACAAUUGACUGAGAAUCAAGUUGAGAGCAUAGGAAUUUCACUAUUGUUGCUUGUAAUUUGGGGAUUACAAAAACAUCUUUGAUUUUAUAAGUUGAUUCUAAAUUGCUUAUGAAAUGCAUAUUGUUUUUCAUAAGUAUGGCUAAAACUCCCAUAACUAGGGUUAUGGGGGCCUUGGUGUAAUUCAAUGUUAGGGUUGAGGGACUGAUAAAACCUUGAUAAUAAUUUCAAUUACAUAACCUUCUCUUCAAUUUAAUGAUUCUUCUUGGUUGCAAACUUAAGAUAUGUGUCUAUGAACAUUUUUCUUGAACAAAGAAGUUAGUGUUGGUAAAAGAUAAGGGUUACGAGAUGAUUAUAGUAUUUUCCCUCUAAAUUUAUGAUUGAUGCCUUAACCGGAUCAAUUUUGUAAGGAUUUAGUUGUUUUACCAAUUUAUCACUUUAAGUUUGAAAGAAUUGAAUUGAAUCCAUAUUUGAAGGUUGAAAAACAAUUAGAUGGAAGUAAUUAUACAAUUGUCCUUGUAAUUGGAAUUGUUGAUGUAUGGAUUUGUAAAAACCCACAGCCCUUAGUAUUAAAACACCUUGGUAAUCAUAACCUUAGUUUAUUAAUCCUCAUUCUCUAUACAUUGAAACUUAAACAUUAGUUUUUAAUACUUUGCAAACACUCAAACCACUAUUCAUAACAACAAAAACCCUAUUUUAAUUUUGAAAACUUAUGACUAACAGUCCAUUAAUAAUCAUAAGACUUAGUUAACACCUUAUUCCUUGUCGGAUUCAACCCUAACGUAGUUGUGUUAUAUAUUUGACAACGACCACUUACGCUCUUUUAAGAGAGUUGUAAUUUAGGAUUAUCAAAUUUUGGAAUCGUUGCUAGGGAAUGCGGUUGUUAAAAAAGUAUUUGUGCAUUAAUUGACUUUUAGUCAAGUUUCUUAAUUUUACUUUUAUUUAUUGUUUUUGAUAAUUGAAGGCUAUUUAUUGUGCAUGCCAUAAAUAGUAAGGUCAAUAUAGCCAUUAUGACCCUUCAACCCAGAACCUCAAAGAGUUGUGAGAGAAAAUAUGACUGAAUAAUAAAAGGCUACAAGACUUGCUGCUUUGGCAAAUACACAGGUAAAUUAACAGAAUGCAGACAAUCCCAGAUGUGUGCCUAAUAUAGAUAAUGAUGACUUGGGUGAUGAUGACUUGGUUGAUCCUCUGAACAGGCGGCUUGCAAGAACUAUAGCCGCACCAGUAAAUUAGAAUAGGCAAGCUAGAGGGAGAGUGCACCACCAGCGCGCCUGCGGUGUACUUUGAUCUAGAUGAUGAUAAUUAAGAUCAUUUUGUUGGAGCUAUUGCUACAGAAGAAAACAUUCUACCACCAUUGGCUCCUGAGGUAAAAUUUAAUAUCAUGAGCUCAAUAAUCCAACUGCUCAACUUGAAGGGGCUAUUGGGUGAAAUGCUGGGGGAUGAUCCUAAUAUACAUUUGGUGAACUUCAUCAAUAUUUGCAAGUAAUUUGACAAUCCUAGAGUAGGGUAAAAUGCCAUUGUCUGGGUUAUUUCCUUUGUCUCUAUCUUGAGAGGCAACUCUAUGGUUGAAUGAGUUGGCACUCGAUUCUAUAACAAACUAGAGGAAACUAAAAAGAGUUUUCCUAGAAAGGUUCUUUUCGUCUUCUAGGAUGUUAUUGUUGAGGGAUGAAAUCAACAACUUUAGGAAACUACCGAACGAGGCCUUUCAUGAACAUGGAUGUGAUUCAAGAAGAAAUUAACGUGAUAUCCAAACCUCAAGUAGCCUAAAGAGCAUCUAUUGGGGAUGUUCCAUAAGGCUUUGAAUUCCAUUGCAAAGCCAACCAUAGAUACUAUAGCAGGAGAAGCUUUCAUAGAUCUCACUUUCACUGAGGCUUUGGAGAUAUUAGAGAAAAUGACUAAGAGAAGUAGAUCUUGGCAUGCUAUGGAUUCUGAGGUAGCAAGCAAUACUUAUUCUAGUGGGAUGUUGGCAGGGCAACAUUAGAGAGAAGAGGAACGUGAUCAAGAUAUGGAUCAAAUAAAGACAUAGCUAGAUUGCCUACAAAGAAUUUGCUCUCGAGAAAGAUAGAGAAGGUCAAAGUUGUGGGGUUACAUAGUAGGGAAACUAAAUCUGAUUCUGAGGAGGAAGCAAACUACUAAAAUAACUAGGCGGUUUUGAGCUAGUAGACAAGGAAUUCAAGGUCCAAAUUCUUAUGAUAAAGCUGGUUAUUAAGAUAAUGACCAAAGAAACUAGAAGAAUGAAAAUGAUAGAAAAGGACUAUAUAAACUACUUGGGAGCCAUGAUAAUGUUGUAAAUAAUUUUUGGAAGAUGUCUAUGGGAUAUGAUGGACAAAUUAUUGAAAGAAGUAAAGUCAAUAAAUGCCAGAGUUAGGGAAAUAAAGAGCGACUUGUCGACUAUGAGUCAGUUACUUGACUCACACUCAACAUCUAUUAAAUAAUUGGAGCAGCGGAUGAGACAAUUAGCAGCAAUGUUCAACCAAAGAAAAACCAGGACUUUACCAAGUGACACAGUUAAAAACCCGAUGAAUAAUGGUUCAUGUAUGGCUAUUUAAACUAGGAGAAGUAAGAUGCUACCUGGUCCAUGUCAGGUAGCACCAUCUCAUAAUGAUGUGGUAGAGUUAGAAGAGGAGGUGAAUAAUGACUCACUAAUAGAAUCUAGAAAGCCUAGAGAUUUAUAAAAGAAGAGUACAGAAGUGGAAAGAACAUCUAAGCCAAAAUAGGUUCAUGAUGUAGAGAAAAGCAAACAAAAGGUGGUAGAGGUUACUCCAACAAGAAUUACAAAACCACCACCUCAAUUUCCAUAUAGAUUAAAGAAGAAAGAAGAUGGGGGUAAGUUUAGAAAAUUCAUGGCUAUGCUGAAGUAAUUGUAAGUGAAUGUGCCUUUAGUUGAGGCUUAGAGCAAAUACCGGGAUACACUACACUUAUGAAGGACCUUGUGAUGAAGACAGUUAGUUGCGAUCUUGUGGAUAACCUUCAUCAUUGUAGCCUUAUUACUACUAGAUCAUUAGUGCAGAAGAAAGCUAAUCUGGGAAAAUUCACCAUCUCGUGUACAAUUGGAGCAUUUAGUUUUGCUAAAGCACAUUAUGAUCUUGGAGAAAGCGUCAACCUUAUGCCAUUAGCAAUCUUCAAACAAUUGGGUUUAGGGACUCCUAAGCCAACUACUAUGCGACUAUUGAUAGCAGAUUGGUUGGUUUAAAGACUGGUGGGGAUUCUAUCUGAUGUACUUGUAGAGGUGGCCAGCUUUAUAUUUCCCGUAAACAUCAGAAUUCUUGAUUGUGAACUGGAUUUUGAAGUACCCAUAAUUUUGGGUAGGCCAUUUCAAGCAACCAGGAGAGUGCUAGUCAAUAUGGAACCGAAUGAGUUUAAAUUUAGGAUCAAUGAGGAAGAAAUUAUCUUUGAUGUUUAUCAAUCUGUGAAGCAACCUAGGAAAAUGACUAUAGUCUCGGUCAUUGAUGUUAUUGAUGAAGAUGAUCUAAUUUUUCCAGUUGAGAAAAGGUUUGUAAUGGAAACCUUGACUACAGUUUUGAUGAAUUUGACAGUGAAGGAAUUAAUGAGUAUGACGAGACAGUGUGCACAUUGAUUGCAAUGGAGUCAUUUUCGUAUGCCUCGAAGAAGCUAGACUAGGAUUUAAAAAAAUCAUCUAACACCACCAGCCACUCUUUCUAUUGAAGAGCCACCAGUGUUUUACAGCAUGUGCAUUUUGGUGAUGAAAACACUUUAUCGAUGUUUAUUGCAGUGGAUUUAGUGGAGCAUCAAGUUGAGGCUCUUAUUUUUGUAUUGAGGUGCUAUAAGAGUGACAUUAGGAGGACAAUUUUUAACAUCAUAGGCAUUCCACUGGGCAUCUUCACUCAUAAGAUUCAGCUGGAAGAAGAUUAUACUCCCUCUAUUAUGCAUCAGCACAGGCUAAAUCCACCGAUGCAAAAAGUAGUGAAGAAGGAGAUAAUGAAGUGGUUGGUUAUUGGGAUACUUUAACUAAUUUUUAUAGUAAGUGAGUGAGUCCUGUUUAGUGUGUGCCAAAGAAAGGCGGCAUGACGAUGAUGGAAAAUAAAAAUAAUGAGUUAAUUUCACUCAGGCGAGUGAUUGGUUGGCGAGUGUGUAUAGAUUAAAGGAAAUUGAAUUCUUGAACAUUAAAGGUCAUUUUCCAAUGCCUUUCAUGGACCAAAUGCUUGAUUGAUUGGUAGGAAGGGUUGGUAUUGCUUUAUAGAUAGAUACUCAGGCUACAAUAAAAUAUUGAUUGCACAUAAGGAUUAGGAGAAAAUAAUGUUCACUAGUCCAUGUAGAAUAUUUGCAUUCAAGAGAAUGUCGUUUGUAUUGUGUAAUGCAUUGGCCACUUUCCAGAGGUGUAUGAUUUCCAUCUUUUCAGGUAUGGUGGAAUACACUUUGGAAGUAUUCAUGGAUGAUUUUUUUCAUGGUUGGUGAUUCAUUUGACAGUUGCAUAGUGACUCUAGGUAAUGCAUUGCAAUGGUGUGAAGAGUUCAACCUUGUCCUAAAUUGGGAAAAAUGUCAAUACAUGGUGAAGGAAGGCAUAGUAUUAGGACAUAAAAUUUCAAAAAAAGAAAUUGAGGUUGAUAUAGCAAAAAUUAAAGUUAUUAAAAACUACCUCCUCCUAUUCCUAUGAAAGGGGUGUGAAGUUUCCUAGUCCAUGAUGGUUUCUAUUGUUAAUCUAUCAUCAGUUGUUCCUUAAUAGAAUAUGGGCGUGAAAGAUAGACUCUCAUAUGAAGAGAUCCCAGUCGAGAUCCUUGAUUAUCAAAGUUAUAGGAUGAGAAAUAAAGAGGUUACCUUAGUAAAGGUUCUAUGAAGAAAUUAGUUAGUUGAGGGAGCAACAUGGGAAGCAGAGGAAGAUAUGAUGACCAAGUACCCCCAUAUUUACUCUUCAAACUCAGUCCCACCUUGAGGUAAUAGUUCCCUUGAUUAAUUUAUUCUUUCAUUUUUAUCUCAGGCCAUCCAACUAUUUUCAUGUCAUAGAAUACAUUCACAAGUUUAGUUCAGUCCAUCCAGAUUCAGAUAUCAACUCAUGGUUUAGCUCGUAAGUGUUCAGUGCAAAAUUUCAACUUUUCCCUUAGUACUUCAGCUUAGUUUUAUUUCAGGGAUAAAUGAUCCCUAGUGAAAGAUAUUGUACUACCCCAAGUUUUUAAAAUCUAGACCCACCAAAAGAUAGGCCAUUGAAUUAGCUUUCUAGUGCCACCAGUCUCACUAAGAUCCGAUAUCGUAUUAAGAAGUUAUGACAAAUUGACUGAGGAACUAACAAACUAUGAAGGACAAUGGCCCUAACAAUGACACAUUUUUAUACACAUGAGUCAUAGCGAAGACUCGUUGUCAUUCAUCCAUUGGGUAACACUUUUGGCAUAACUUACCCGUGGUCUAUAUUAAUGGCUUAUGCCAUGUAGGAGGGUACAACUGAAUGUUGGGGGACAUAUGGAGGAACAUAUCAUAAUGGAGUGGAAGGAUUUCAACCGAGAUAACAAAUUGGCUCGCUACCUUCUAAGUCUAGUUUUCAAGUUGUGAAGGUGCAUAGGAGUUUUGAGGUAGAAUGUUGAUAGGGACCUAGAGAGUCGAAUCCUUCCAUCAUCUCAAGAUAAAGGUUCUAACCUUCAAGAGCAAGAAAAAAAAAGGAAGAUGGGUAAUAACGACAAGAUAAAUAGUGCAAUAGAGGAUGAUGAUGAUAAUACCCCUCCUACAAAAGCCUUAUUUCCUUAUGAGCAUAUAGAGCAUGGCCUAUCUACCAUGAGGAGAUUCAUAGAGCGGGCUCACUUUAUUCCUCAUUGUUUAGCCCCCUCUAUUUCUAGAGCCUCACCAGCCAUAGCUCUAGAUUUUCUAGAUCACCCAAGGGAUUUGGAUGAGGUCAAGAAGAAGGGGCACACUCAAAACUACAAACUGCCUCGGAUCUAAAAGACCAUUAAGGUUAUGUUAAAGUACGUCAUCCCUAAAAAAUUGCUUCCUAAUCUGGAGAGAGAGUAUAUAUAGAAGCUCUACUUUCUAAGAGAUUUGGAAAGAGAGGGCUUCGACCUUUGAGUCAUAGAUACGAUAUGGAAUCCAGCUAGAUCCUUGAGUACAUGUCAGUCUACCUCUAAUUCCCCUAUUUUAUUUCUAAAUUUUAGAUUUGGGUUGCCCCUAAUUGAGGCAUGUAACAAACAAUCUCACUUUUAUUUUCACAGAUAUAGAUAUUCCUUUUUUGGUAAACCAACAGCUUUUUUAUUCAAAACCAUAAAAUUAUAUUACAAAACAAAAUAGAUGCAGAACAUCUAUUUCUAAGUUCUAGAAACCUAUAUUAUCGAUCCUAGUUAAGCUUAAAAUAGAUAUACAAAAACCAAAAAAAAUUGAGAUAAAGCAAGUAAAUACUGCUAGGUCUUGAUCUAAGGUGUGUUUAUGCACUUUAGUGUUGUUAUCCUAGCUUAUUUAGCCUUGUUUUGAGGGAAAUUCGUGCUCUUUGUGUUUUAAUGAUGAUAUAAAUUAGAAUAUAAGUUUUUAAGUAUUUGAUUACAAUGUUUAAAGGUAUUUUCAAACAAGUUUGGGUUCAAAUCGAUCAUUUAGAGUCCAGACGAGAAAACUAGUUUUACUAGCUUGAGCUAGGUGAUGUUCUACUCUAUCGUGAUGGAUUCUAAUGUGUUGAAUGAGUUCCUAAUGGUUGUAUUGUGUAAUUAUGUGGGGUAAAUUUUUUUAUUGUGUUUAAAGUAUAAUUUAAUCAAGCCAAGAAUCAAAACCAAGUUAACGAUAAAAAGAGGCAAAACUAGUAGUCUUAGCUUAAGUUUCUAGUUUAUCGUCUUGGAUGUGUUGUUUUGAGCUCUAAUUUGUUGUGUUUAAUGGUAUAUGAUGCUUUUUGAGUUGAUUAUGAUGAUAUAUUAAGGAUAUAAAAUCUUCAAAUCAAGUGGAAACAGUAUGAAAAGGCUUGGAAUGGAUCAACGAAAGCACAAGACACAACUUGACGCGAAUUGAACACCCUGGAUGUCAAAGGCACGUCGCGGUCUCAAACCAUGGAAAACUGGUGAUUUCAACACAUGGUUGGCUUCCUAAGGGACCCAAAAUAGUGGGUAUCCAUAAUAAGGGUGCAUCGCGUAGUUAGAUGCACAAAAUUAGCCCUACAACGCGGCCUAAUGCAAAAACGUGGCAGUUCUAUCCUCCUAUAAAUAGGACACUUGUACUUAAUGUUAUAAACCUUGGACGACUUUGAAACUAGGAGAUGGUCUGAAAAACACUUCAAUUACGGUUUUUAUUCUUUAACUGUAGCAUUUUAAUUGAUUUUACCAUGCAUUUAUAUAUCUUGAUUACGAUUAUGUCUAUUAGCGGCUAAAAGCCCCCUUUCCGGGGUUAAAGACAAGAACAUGAUUGCUAUUUCUUGGAAUCGAAUUGAUUUUGUUUAUUUAUCAUAUUUUUUGUUUAUUUACCCUUGUUAUCAUUAUUGUAAGGAUUUGUGACCCUUGGUAUACACUUAUUAUUAUUUUUUUUGAACUCGGGAGGGGGAAUAAGAUGAUAGAACAUAGGGAUAAGUAGAGUAAGGUUCCUAUUCCUUUAAGAAAUAAGGAAUUAGAAUUAGCAUCUAGGAUAGAAAUAUACCUAGAAGACUUGAUUGGUUCACUACAGGAUGAAAUAUAAAUGUGUUUAGCUUAGUGCUCACGUCCCCGAUCAACAAUGUAGUUGUGGGUCUAAGUUAGAUAUGUGGUUAGAGGUUGGGAGACCAUGAUCAUAAAAUCAACCCCGUGAAUCAUCAACCAAGAUACAUAACUUAACCAAUGAAGUUAGAAUGCAUAGUAUGAAUGUUCUUAGUUCUUUAACCCCAGGUUUUUAUUCAUUGAUUGUCCAAAGUCAUUACUUUUACGCAUUGUUUAAUUUACUUUUAGUUAUAACACUCAAACUCUCUCUUGGUUACGUUGCGCUAAUUAAUCUCAAUAGUUAAACUAGAAUUGGAUAGUUGCUUAACACAAGUCUCUGAGGGAUCAUAUUUGGCUUUAUUUAAGGCCACUGUAUUACUUGGUGAGAACAUAUACACUUGCGUGUGCGCUUGGGCACAACAAGUUAUUGGCGCCAUUGCAGGGGACUUGUAAAUUGGAACCUAUUUUUGUUUUAGUUUUACUUUAUAGAUUUCUUUUUUGCUUUACACUUUUCUUUGGUAUUGAAUUUGCAGGAAACAAGUUGACAGAUUAGUAGGUUGGCACAAGAUAUGGAAUUGGUCAAACCAAAUCCCAACCCGAGCAACUGUAUCAUCAAUUGAGGAGAGAAGAAGAACUUCUCGACUAAUUCCCACAAAUUUACAAGGAACAAUAGGAUCCCGCUCUUAUGGUUAAAGAACAACUAGCCCACAGGACAGUUCGUGAAGUUAAAAUCCCACUUUCGAUAAAUUUGACCUUCCCUUUUCAAAAACUGACUGUUGGAGGCAAUUUUGAGUUGAAAUAGAACAUGGUGCAGCUUUUGAUCAGCAGUGGACAGUUUAUGGUGCUUUCACAUGAAGAUCCACAAGUCCAUAAAUUUUUCUCGAGAUCAGUGACACAUUCAUCCAGACGGGCGAGUUAACUAAUUAUGUAAUGCUGACAUAAUUCUUUUUUUCACUGUUGGGGGAAGAGAAAAUGUGGUUAAAUGUUGAGCCGACAAAUUCAAUCACAACCAAGGAUGACUUAGCCUGGAACCUCAUCCGAUUCUUUCUAUUUAGCAAGACUAUGAGAUUGUGUAGUGAGAUUAUGUGCUUCAAACAGAAGCCAAAUGAGAAUUUAUGUCAUGCUUAGGAGUGAUUCAAAGCUCUUCUUUGGGACUGUCCAAAUCAUCAACUGUCCAAUGACGUAUUAGCUCACACUUUUGUUGAGGCACUUGACCAUAGCACAAAAAUUUUGCUAGAUUCAGUUGCAGUUGGUCAAGCAUUGGAGCUCAGUUGGUCAAGCAUUGGAGCUGACUUAUGAUGAGCUCUAUACUUUGUUGAAUCGGAUUGCAUAAGGAAAUCCUGAGUGAUAUUCACACUCAAGAAAUGCCACAAAGAAGGUUGCAGGUGUAUUGGAGGUGGACCAAUUUACUACUAUCUCCGCCCAAAUUUCUGCACUACAAAAUUAGAUAAGCAAUAUAAUGUUGGGGCUUACACAACUUAUAGCCACAGUUAAUGCAAUUCAAUAAACUAUAUUUCGUAAGAGGUUUGUGGUAACAAUGGGCAUGCAGCUACUAUGUGUGCUAAAAAUCCUGAGUCUGUGUUAUUUGUGGGCAAUGUUCAAAGGCUAAAUUACGGGAACUACAAUCUAAAGUGGCAGACUCAGCCACCAAAUCAGCAAUGGAGUGCUCGACAGUAGCAAAUUCAAGGCAAUUAGACCAUACCCCAGAAUAACAAUAUGGAAGAGAUGUUGAAACAAAUUAUGCUUGGUUAAGCUCAAUUAGCAGCAGAUAUAAAGAGCCAGCAAGCAACUAAAAGGAGUUUGGAGUUGUAAUUAGGUCAGAUUGUGCAGGCACAAAAUACCAGGCCUCAAGGUGGCUUGCCAAGUGACACUGAAAAUUCUAACUAAAAAAUGGAAAUCACUUUGGGGGGUGGUAAGGAGCUGAAUAAAGAACUUCUAAAAAAAUAAGGAGGUAGAUGAAGAGUUGACUCCCCAACCGGUAGAUGACAAAGUUUGUGUAAAAUUUGAGGAAGUCUAAGUACUCAAAAAUUAAAGUUGUUUAACAGAUGAAGGAGAUAACGCCAUUACCUUUCCGACAAAGUAAUAUAAAAAUGAAGGAGGAUGCAUGCUUCAAAAAGUUCUUUAACACAUUAAGAGAGCUGCACAUUUACUUACCUCUUUUAGAUAUUUUACAGGGAAUGCCCAAGUAUGCUAAGUACUUGAAGGAUGUGGUCUAUAAUAAAAUUAAGCUGCAAGAUGUGAAGGCCAUAGCACUUAGUGAGGAGUGAGCUCUGUAGUGACAUAAAAAAUCCCCAAAAAGCUCAAAAACCCAGGGAAGUUCACUCUCUCUAUUCAAAUUAGGAAUAGUCAAGUGGUGCACGCACUUAGUGACUAAUGGGAAAGCAUAAAUUUGAUGCCCCUUUCUUUUUUCAACACUUUAAGCUUGGGGAAGCCGAGAUCGAGCACUGUGUUACUGUAAAUGGCAAAUGGGACCAUAGCCUAUCCUGAAGGAGUCAUAGAGGAUGUUAUCAUCAAGGUUGGUAAGUUUAUUAUUCCUACUGACUUUAUUGUUUUAGAUUUUCAGGCAGAUAAAAGAGUACCAGUCAUCUUGGGACUCCAUUCUUGGUAAUAGGAAGAGCUUUAAUAGAUGUGAGAGAGGGCACACUCACAAUGAGGCUGGAUGAUAAACAGGUAGUUUUUAAGGUAUAAAAACCACUCAACACAAUAUCCCACUACCAAGAUUUGUUCAUGAUUAUGGUGAUUGAAGGGGAUAAGUGUUUGGUGGUGGAUUUUAUUCCAUAAAAGACCUCUUCGAACUUUCUCAUUAAGAAGACCAAGCUUCCAAUACGACAUCCUGACAUGAUGCAAAUUGAUGAGCCUAAAAAGGCUAAAGUUAAGAAAGUUGUUAACCUUGAAAGUUCCCACUCAAUAGGUCAGAAACAAAAAAGAAGAUGGCGUCCUAUUGGGAGAAAGAGGAUGAAGGAAAAUGAAUAAUUCAUAGAUUGGGUCAUGUCGUGACACUAAAUCAGGAGCUGCUUAGAAGGCAACCAAAGUUAAGGUAGCUGUUAUUUUUAGUAUUUUAGUUUUUACUUUGCUAGUUUUUAUUUUUGUUGAGUCAUAGGUUAAUGGUAAGUCUGAGUACCAGAAAACCUGCGCUAAGGAGCAUCGAGAAUACUGAGUGAGGGGUCCCCCAGUCCCUCUUGAUGUAUAAAGAUGCUACUAGCUAGGCCUAGAGGCCUCAGGGAGUUUUUCUAUCUUUACUUUUAAAUUAUACUUUGGGGACAAAGUAGAUUUUUAAGAGUGAGGUAGGGAAAUUCCCACUUUUAGGAGUUUUUUUAAAAAAAUUGUGUGAGAUGUUCUUGUUGGUACUAUAGUUGAUUACAAGAUGCAAGUGUUUUUGUUGUAAAGAGCAUGUUGAUUGUGUGAAUUACUACUUUUGAAACUCUUAGUCUCAUGAUUAUGACUAUUAUACUUGUUGGCUUAGUAUUAUUCAUGUGAUUGUUUAGUUGAAAAUCUAUGAUGAUCUUACUUGAGUUGAGCAUGUGCCAUGUAUGUGUGAGGGGUUGUGUAUUUGUGAUACCUCGAGUUUUCCCGUUAAGUAUUUUGCUCCAAAAUGUGUCGAGUCAUUAAAGCCUUUUUAUCUUUCAUUAAGAUCUCAGACGAAAAUGUGUUAAAUUCUGUUCUUUAUCGUAAUUAAUAACUUUUCUGUGUGAAAUUUCUGGAUAUGCGACCCGUCAUCGCGUAGAGAAUCGAAUAAUCUUUCCAACAAUAUGUGGAUCAUCCAAAACGGAUACUCGAGUGAUGAGUUAUGAUCAUUCUGAUCUAACCAUGAAUACUGGUGAACAGUAAAUGUGCAGGAAAAAAAUACUGAGGCCAGGCAAAUUUUAGGGUCAAAUUCAAACGAUCAUAACUCCUUGUACAUAAUGAUCUGGGUGAGCUACUAUAUAUCAACAGAAAUCUCUGAGAGUCCUCUUUCCAAUGAAAUUUGUUUCAUCUAGUUUGUCCAUCGGAGCAAAAAGUUAUGGUCGACCAAAGGAUAGAUUUGACAUUAUUUGAUUUUUAAGGGUAUUUUGGUCAUUCCCACUCCAAUCGAUCCGGGAAAACCAUGGAUUUAAGUCCAUUAAGAGCAUUCAAUAGCUCAUUUUUCUCCAAAAUUUCCCAAGGGUCAAACUCCAACCCUACUACUCCAAAUUUCAUCAUUUUAUGUCUCUUGAUUGAACUGUAAGAAUUUCAAAUUGAUUUAGGAUUCGAGUUGAUCAUGCUAAGGGCUUCGAGAAGCACCCUUUAUUUUCGUGAAUAAAGUUCCGAAGUCGGAAGUUCAUAUUCAUUUUCCAUUUUUAGGUAUGUGGGGCUUUGAACAAGAUUAUCCUUUUAAUCUUGUGCCAGAUAUUUUUGUUGAAUUACAUUGACAUGAGAUUUUACAUGUUUUAACAUGAAUUAGAAAUAUGGUUUUAUAUCUUAUAUUAUUGUCCAUGAGCUAUGGGAUUAGGUCAUCCGAUAUGUGUAUGAUGUUGAGAUGGAAUUAUGUCCAAAAAGUAUUUGAUUAUGAGAGUAUGAUGAUUUAAUUUGUUAAGCCUUGAUUUAUACUAUCAUUCCACUAUUUUCUUAUUACAAAUUUAUAAUUGAUGUUGGAAAUUCUAUAUCCCUACUAUGGGUUAUGUCUCAAGUACCUUUAAAUGAGAGUUGGAUGGCAAAUUGAGAAAUGUUGAUAUUGAAGUUGCAAUGAGUCUUGGUAUUUUUCGGAUGGUUUUGAUGAGUUAAAUUGUUGAAAAUAUUAUGUAUUGAGUCUUCAUAUCCUCAUCCAAAUUUUGAGUCGGUUAUGGUUCAAAGAAUUGAUACCCUUUUGAUGUUGAGGAAGAUUAAAAUGCUUUGAGCUAAAAUGUGUUGUGUUAGGAAUCCACAAAUUGAUAUGAUUUGAUAAAUGAGAAAGAUAUUUGAUUUGGUCUUUAUGAUAGACCCUUGUGAUGUUAUGGUGGAUUUCCCAACGCUUUCUAAUCUUGUCGGGGAGUAGUACUUAGCACCGGGAGAAAAAUUUGGUAUUUCCCCAAACCUAUGUGNNNNNNNNNNNNNNNNNNNNNNNNNNNNNNNNNNNNNNNNNNNNNNNNNNNNNNNNNNNNNNNNNNNNNNNNNNNNNNNNGAUAUGAUAAUUUAUGAUGAUUUAGGAUGAUUUAUCAUAAUUUAUGAUUUAUAAUGAUUUAUGUGGAUUACAAGAUUUUAUUAUAUGAACUAUUUAUUAUGAAAUUACAAAAAUUAUGAUUUGAUAUAACUCAAGCCAAGUGAGUCAUCAUUAUCCAUAUGCAUGUUUUCAUGAAAUUGAUUAUACUAUUUAUAUUGUUGCAUGCACCCCCACAUACUCAGUACAUUUCAAAAUGCUGACCCACAUAUUUUCAUGGGUUACAUUCUUACCAAAAUGUAGGUACAAACUGUAGCGCACAUAUCAUGUUCAACUGGUUCGCAGCUCUCGAUCGGCAGGUGAUUAGUCCUUUUGAUUCAGGGACUUGAGUUGUUCAGAUUUGAGGUGUAUUGUAUUCUGUAUUCAGUCGUAUUGAGUAGGAGUAGUUGGGAGUCAUGACCCGGCUAUCUUUGGUUAAUGCUAGUAGAGGCUUCAUAGACAGUCACUAGUAGUCAGUGUAUUCAGUUUCAGAUUUGUAUAUAUAUGAGCAGAAUUAUGACCGUGUAAAUUUACUUUCAUGUUGGUCAGACUAAGUUAUGGGUUGUUUCUGAAUUAUUCCUUCUAUUUUAUGUAUUUUAUUCAGUUUCUUGGGGUUAUGCCAGAUGAAGAGUUAGCUUGGGGUCACUUGUGACCUUAAGCACCGUGGGACGUCUCGAGAUCCGAUUUCGGGGCGUUACAGUAUUCCUUGUUGCAUGUGAUGUAUAGAACUUGCCUGGUGUGUGUGGAAAGCAAAAUAAAGAGUGUGGGUUUAGGAGAUGAUAUAGACAUUUCUUCAAUGGCCUUGUUUCGUACUAUCUUUUACCUACCAUUAUACAUAAACCUAGUUAGCCCCAUUGAGCCUUCAACUUAUUUUCUUUGGCCGCCUCAUAAGUAGCCUAAAUCCCCUUGUUUGACUGACCAUAAUUUGAUCCAAAGCUCCUGAGUGCUUUAGUUGAAAUCUAAUUAAGUUAAGGAGUUGGAAACUCAAGAAGGAAAAGAUGAAAUUGAAGCCCCUAACUAAUGGCUAUUGGUAUUCUAAAAUUUGAUGUGUUGUGGUUGGGAGUGAAAAAAAAAAUUGUGCUAAAAAAUUUAAGCAUGAAUUAAAAGACAAUACUCUCACCAUAUUUUAUGUGAAUGAUCUUAAUGAGAUGGGGUAAAACUAUGUAUAUGUGAAGAGUGUAGAGGUGAGAGUAGGUUAUUAAAGCGCUUAGGGAAGAUAGUCACUAUUACUGGCCAGAAUAGUUCCUCCCCGUCCCUUAGCCUGCAUUAUAACCUGUAAAGACCUAUUUGAUCCUAAGCUUAACAUUCUGAUAUUAGUGGAGCACUACACUAAGGGCAAGCAUAUGUUUCAUUAUUUGUAACUUGUGAAUUCUUUGUGAGAGUGAGUGCAAUUUUAUUCUUAUACCCAUUGUGUACAAAUGAAAUUAUUGUGAGUGACUAUGGAUAAUAAUUGUGAGGGCACAUGUUUGAUGAUAGUUGGGUAAUUUAUAUGAUGUCUUUGAUUGAACAAAAUGUGUGAGUUUUCCAACUAAGUGAGUCAAUUCUUGAGGCUAGGACAUUUUGGAGUAGUGUUCUUGAACUUUCAAUUGUGUACAUAACAUGCUUAGUUUAGAAACUUGCAUUCUGCAUAGUCAGUAUAGUGAUUGGGUAAGUAUCUUGAUUGUAUUAGAAGUGUAGAGUCAUACCAGUUUAUUAUUCUUAGAGUAAGGAGUUGUUCAAGGACAAACAAAGCUUUAAGUAUGGGGUGAUGAUCUGAGGUGUGUUUUAUGCACUUUGGUGUUGUUAUCCUAGCUUAUUUAGCCUAGUUUGAGGGAAAUUCAUUUGAUUUAUGUGUUAAUGAUGAUAUAAAUAAGCAUAUGUGUUUAGGUAUGUGAUUGUAAUGUUUAAAGGUGUUUUCAAACAAGUUUGGGAUCAAAUCGAUCAUUUAGAGUCUAGACGAGAAAGCUAGUUUUACUAGCUUGAGCUAGGUGAUGUUCUAGUCUAUCGCGAUGGAUUCUAAUGUGUUGAAUGAGUUCAUAAUGGUUGUAUUGUGUAAUUAUUUGUGGGAAAUUUUUUUUAUAGUGUUUAAAGUAUAAUUGAAUCAAGCCAAGAGUCAAAACCAAGUUAAAGAUAAAAAGGGCCAAAACUAGUAUUCUUAGCUUAAGUUUCUAGUUCGUCGUCUUGGAUGUUGUGUUGUUUUGAGCUCUAAUUUGUUGUGUUUAAUGCUAUAUUAUGCUUGUUGAGUUGAUUAUUAUGAUAUAUUAAGGAUAUAAAAGCCUCAAAUCAAGUGGAAACAACACUUAAAGGCUUGAAAUGGAUCAACGAAAGCACAAGACACAACAUGACGCGAAUUGGACAACUUGGAUAUCAAGGGCACGCCGCGAUCUCAAACCAAGGCCAACUGGCGCAUUCCACACAUGGUUGGCUUACUAAGGGACCCAAAAUAGUGUCUCCAUGAUAUUGGCACAUCGCGUAAUUAGACACGCAAAAUUAUCCCUGCAACGCAGCCUAGUGUAAAAAUGCAGCAGUUUUAUCCCCCUAUAAAUAGGACACUUGUACUUGAUGUUAUACACCUUGGACGACUUUGAAAUUUGGAGAGGGGAUGGAAAACACUUCAAUUAGAGUUUUUCUUCUUUAACUUUAGCUUUUUAAUUCUUCAAUUAGAGUUUUUCUUCUUUAACUUUAGCUUUUUAAUUGAUUUUAUCAUGUAUUCAUAUAUCUUGAUUACAGUUAUGUCUAUUAGUGGCUAAAAGCCCUCUUUCUGGAGUUAAAGGCAAGAACAUGAUUUCUAUUGUUCGAAAUUGAAUUUGGUUAAUUUAUUUAUCAUACCAUGUUGUUUAUUUACCCUUUUCAUCAUUAUGAUAACGAUUUUCGAUCCUUAGGAUAUACUUAUUGUCCUCUUUGUGAAAUCGGAGGACAGGGGGAAUAAGAUGAUAGAAUGCGGGGUAAGUAGAGUAAGGUUCUUAUUCCUUUAUGAAAUAAGAAAUUUAAAUUAGAAUAAGGUUCUUAUUCCUUUAUGAAAUAAGGAAUUUAAAUUAGCAUCUAGGAUAGAGAUAUACCUAGAAACCUUUUUUGGUUUACUAUGGGAUGAAAUAUAAAUGUGUUUAGCUUAGUGCUCACAUCCCAGCUCAAUGAUAUAGUUGUGAAUCUGAGUUAGAUAGGUGGUUAGAGAUCGGGAUACCAUUAUCAUAAAAUAAACCCCGUGAAUCAUCAACCAAGAUAAAUAACUUAACCAAUGAAGUUUGAAUGCAUAGUAUGAAUCCCGGGUCUCUAUUCACUGAUUGUCCAAAGUCAUUACUUUUACUCAUUGUUUAAUUUACUUUUAGUUAUAACUCUCAAACUCUCUCUUAGUUAUGUUGCUCUAAUUAAUCUCAAUAGUUAAAUUAGAAUUGGAUAGUUGAAUAACACAAGUCUUAGAGUGAUCGAUAUUCAGCUUUAUUUAAGGCCUCUGUAUUACUUGGUGAGACAACGUACACUUGUGUGUGCGGCGCAAUAGUCUUCACUUAUUCUUCAAUCUACUAAGCAAAUACCCCGUGUCAUGGUCUUCCAAUAAGCUUACUAAGAGCAUCUAUCCAUUUAGGAAAAGCUUAACCUCUGAUAUGUAUAUGGAUAUCAAUUUCCCUACGUACUUUCUCCUGUUGAAAGUUACCCUCCUGGAAUCUAAGCAUAUUCCUUUCUCUCCAAAUAGUAGAAUCCACCAUAGAAAAAGUGUUGCUUAUCACAGCACCUAGACCAGACGUUCAUUUAGCCUAACUAUUUUCCUAGGUCAACUUAAAUUGACAACAUCCAAUGGAUCUGUGGACUCCCUACUAAGCUAGCAUUCUCAACCAUAGUGCCUUAGUGAUGGACACUCAAAACAUAUGUGAUUUAUUAACUCCAUAUAAGAAUUAGAUAAGUUGCACUGUAAUGGUACAUGAAUAUCAAACUGCAGUCUAUCAGUUGUAGCAAGUCUCUUCCAGGCUGCUUGCCAUAAUGUGAAUUUAUGUGUAGGAUGGAUAGUUGGUUAUAGAGCAAUACUCUUUUACAACACCUUCUAAUAGUUAGGUAGCAAGCUUAUAUACAUCUUUUUGAUAAAGAACUUCCCAUUUAUAACUAUCAAUCUCAAUCUAGUUGAGAGAUUACCCUACAGGUUCCCAACAUCCAUUACAAACUUCCUCUUCUCUAAUAUCUUCCUUAGCACCCAAGUAGCAUUUGAGGGAAUAGGACAUUCUUCAGCACUUAUCCUUUUCUAUAGUAUUCAUUCAGCUAUUUUAUCCAUAAGCAUUAUUUCUUCACAGUAACAACCCACAACAGUUUUAAAAUAGUAGAACAAUUCUAAAUUCCCAUAUUAAUAAUGUUGUGACCUCCUACAGCCUUUGGAAAACAAAUCUGCUUCCAUAAAAUUAAUUAUUUCCUUGAUCUAGCAGUAGAGCCAGUCUAGAGGUAAGUCCUACAGACCUGAUAUUUCAACUUUAGAAUUCUCUUAGGCAGCAAAAAGAUUUGAGUCCAGUAAAUUUGAACACUAAAUAGGACAGAUUUGAUAAACUGUGUUUUGCCUGCAUAAUGGAGAACUUUUUCUGACCAGCACCUGAUUCUCUCAUUAAUCCUCUCAACUAUAAGUAUACAUUGUGCAAUGAUCAAUUUUUUUAGGACAAGGGUACCCCAAAAUACUUAAUGGGAUUUCACCCUAAUGGUAUCCUAAUAUGUUCAAGCUAUCUUAUUUUAAAGUAGGUUUGACCCCAUCUAUGUUUAUAGAACUUUUCACAAUAUUAUCUUUGAGUCCUAAGGCAGAAAAGAACCUGUUAAAAUCAUCCUGAAGUAAUUGAAUUGAGGUUAUAUUAACCUUGAAAAAUGGUAAAAGAUCAUCUAUAAAGUAGAUGUGCACCACACCUAAUUUUUUACAUGUGGGUUGGUAUGGAAAUACUUUAUUAAGACCCAACUAUACAAGCUCUCAUUGAAAAUACUCCAUUUCCAGCACAAAAAGGAGAGGGAACAUGGGGUCUUCUAGCCUUAUACCUCUCUUCCCCAAAAAGUAGUUAGACCAUAAAAUAGCUAAGGGAAUAAACUAUUGAGAUGAUACAUUCCAUUAUCUAAAUAAAUUUUCAUGGAAACCCCAAUUCAGCAAGAACACUUUGCAAAAACCUCCAUUCAAUUAAGUCAUAGGCUUUCCUUAAGUCCACCUUCAUCACACAUCUUAUGGAUAAGCCUCUCCCUCUAUUCCACAUUAAUACAUUACUAAAUAAAAUAUUUUCUAUAAUACUCCUACCUUCAAUAAAAGCGGGCUGAGUAGGAUAAAUGACAUGGCCGAUCACCUGUUUGAUCCUAUUUAACAAGACCUUUGUAACAAUUUUAUAGACUAUUGUACAGUAAGCUAUAGGUCUCCAAUCUUAAACCUGGGAAGGUUUAGGGACCUUAGGGGUAAGAGUAAUUGUUGUAACACUAAAAGCCUUCGUCAUAGCACCUAUCUUAAAGAAUUAUUUCAUUAAAAUGAGGAAAUCAUCCUUAAUAACUGACAAGUUUUGAGUAAAGAACUCUGCAGGGAAUCCAUCAACUCCUGGAGCUUUAUCUGCUAGUAAGCUUUUAACAGAAUCAAGAAUCUUAAUUUCUAUCAUAGUAUCCACUAAGCUGUAUUUUUUAGUAUAAGAUAAUCAUUGUCCAUCACUGAUAAAAGCAAAAUUUGGGAAAGGUAGAAUAUCUGCUUUAGACCCCAUCAAACUAAAGAACCUUAUAAAUUCAGCCUCACCAAGCUUUGGAUCCUACAGUUUCCACCCCAAUGAAUCAAGAAUUGAAGUUAUUGCAUUCCUACUGGCCCUGAUCUUCACUUAAGUAUGGAAAAACUGAGUGUUAGUAUCACCACAUGCUAUCCAAUUUACCCUUGAUUUCUACUGUAACACAUUUUCCUCCACUUCACUCUAUUUCUUGAUAUCACCAAGCAAUCUUUUCUCCUGUUAUAUUAGACUGGGGUUCAGAAGACUAUUGCAUGAUAAAUCCCAUGUAAUUUCCAACUCACGCCUUUCUUGGGCCAGCUUUUGACUUCAAGAGACUAUAUGAGUAUUCAACUUAUUUAGGCAUUCAACUUAUUUAGGCCAUACUUUAUAGCUUUCAACUUUUUCCACAAUCUAUUUAUAUAGGUUCCAGUUUUCUUCUGGGGUCAUACAGUCUAUAAGAUGCUCUCAAAGUUUUGAUGGUUUAGCACUACUUUAAAUAACUUAAAAGGACUUAUAUUAGAAUGGAUAGGUGGGCAAACCUGGAAAAGAAUUGGAGAGUGAUCAACAUUCCAAGGAGCAUGUAGUCAACCUCUAGAUGAAUAUAAUUACUCAUCCACAACAUGUUGCCAAGUCUUAUCAAUUUUGGAAUAGACCCUACUAUUGUCUUGUUGCUUAUUACAGAAGGUGUAGUGACACCCUAUAUCCCUAAGGGUUGUAAGCUACAAAUUAUCUGCACGGUGUUGAAAGUCUUAAGACUCAGUUGGUAGGAUUUAUGAGCCUAACCUAUCAGAAUUAGUCAGAACAUUAUUAAAAUGUACAGCCAAUAAACAACUACUUCAGAUUAUAACACCUAAAGCUAUUAACUCCUGCCAUAAUUGUUCUCUUUGAACUAGUCCAUUACUAGCAUAGAUUACAUUGAAUUUAUCUUGAAAAUCAAUAGCCUUGUCACUAAGAAAACAGGGGACAACUUGCUCUAAAACCAAUUGUAUCUGCACCAGCGCUAUGUUUCUCCAUAGGAGCCAUAGCCUACCAUUGUAUGUUAUAGGAUAGUUGCAGCAAUGAUCUCAAUUAGUAACUAUUUUGCUAAAGAUAUUUUGAGCUCUAUUCUUUGUUACUGUAAUCUCUAUGAUCCCCAUUACAUCAACUUUAUUAUUAUUUAGAAAGUGCUUCAACUCCUUCUGUUUUAAGGGCUGGUAUAUCCUUCUAAUACUCCAUGUUACAAUUCUCAUGAAGGGUGAAGACCCAAGGGGUCGCUGGUAAUUGAAAAAGUAUCCACUGCUAAACUUUAAAAGCGGUUAAGCACUAGUAUUGGGGGUUGCAAAUAAGAUUUUUGUUGGGGAGCUGUCUGCACCAUUUCAAUAGUGGUUGGUCUUUUCCUAUUCAUUGAGAAUUCAGGAGAUUCCUUAGAAGUUGUUGCCGGUUCUUGUCCCACUUAGUGAUUCACUUUCUCAACUGGUAAUACCAUUCUUCUUUUCCAUAAGGGUGAUUUAGGUUUCUAUUCUUUCAUUUCUUCUUCUCCUCCUCCUUAAACUCUAUGUCCUCAUCUCCUUCUCCCACAUUAUUCUGAUAUUCCUUCGUAUCAUGACCAAAUUUCAUAAAAUGCUUGCAAAACUAUGGCCUCUAAUCAGAUUCCAUAGUUUGCUGAAAUUCCCCAUAAGGGAUGGAGAUGUCAAUUAUCUCAACAAGCACCUAGGAAGCAUAAACUUCCAAGAAUAUGUGUGCAUAUGAGAUCCUUGUAAUGGAUGUUGUAAAGUUAUUUGUAUACAGGGGCCUUCCUAUCGCACCAGCAAGUUUAAUGAAAGAGUCACUAGACUAAUACCCUACCUAGAGCCCUGGUAUGGAGACCCAUAGAGGAACGGUAGAGAAAUAAUCAGUGUUGAACUCAAAAGUUUAGCACCCAACGUUGGAAAACAAAGGGUUGGUUUUGGAAAGUGUAAGGGCCUGCCUAUAGAAUUUGCUCACUCUAUUAAGUUGAUUCAAAAUGAAACAAAAAUAUCCCUCAUCAUGAAGCACAAUUUUAGUGAUGCUCUCUAUUUUCUAGAAAUUCCUAACAUAAUUCUCCAUUGUUUUCAUUUAAGGGGUAUCUCCAACCACAUAAGCAGUAAGGGCAGAGCUCAACUAAUUCUGAAUAUUUAAAUAUAACUUUGCCCUCCAUACAUAGUUGGAAGAAAAUAGGAUAGAGAUUUACCUCGUUGUUCUAAUUUAGUAGCUUCAUGUCCUGCUGGUUUGGUGUUGUUUUUGUGGCUUUUGGGGGGUUAUUAGAAGCAAGCUGCAAAAUUUCAAUCUAAAAAUAGCUAUUUGCAAUUCUAAUAAAAUACCCCUAUAAGGUUUUAACUGGAUAGUUGCAGGAGAGACCGAAUCUAAACUUUAACCUUCAUCUUCUAUGGCAGCAGAUUGAAAUUGAGCUAGGAGAUAUCUACAGAAGGUGAUUAUAGAGUGGCAGCAAUCUCUUCCAAUGAUCGGUGUAAUCAAUUUCCCACUCGAGCUUAAGCCUUUUCCUGAAUAACUCUAUUUUCCCAUGUUAUUUUCCAAUCAUUUCAUGUUAGCUUUCCAUGUUAAGAUGUGUUAAUAAAAGGUAAUGAUCCUGCUUAGGAUGAUUGAUUUUAUUUAACUAGUAGUGAAUGUAUAAAAUUCAUAUGAUGCCAUGCAUGUUAUAUCGAUCAUGUGAUAGAUAGCAUCUUAUAAUUGUGGUUUGAAAAGGUUGGGAAUAAAAUACAGGUUAGGGGAAAUAAGGUAGAGAUUAUGUCCCAACCUAUUAUGCUAUAGCAGCCUACAUGUCGUUAUCCCUGCACCGCUACAGCGGGAAAAUUUCUACUACGGCAGGGUCGCAGUAGCAAGAUAGUGUCUGCUACCCUUAUGCUAAAACAAUGUUUACCACCCUUAACCCAAUGUCCCUAACCUUAUACCCCUGAAUUUUACCAUCCAAUGACAAUGACCUUUACUUGUUCAUCUUACAUAUAAAUCCAUGCCACAAUAAAUACAAUUAAAAUAUGAGGUAAUACAACCACACUUGCAUUUCAAACAAGUCUUUUUACAUAAUCUCAUUUUAGCUGAUUAAGAAACUUGUAAUGCCAUCUAACAAGUCAAUACACAAAUCAUGAAUUAUAAUAAGUAGUCAAAGAGGCAGCUAAAUAUGCACAUAUGAACUAAAUUAAUUCUCAACUUUAUUCAACCAUCACCUACCCUUUUGUAUUAAAUAUAAUAUCCGUUUAGAAUAGCACAAAGAAUAAGUACACACACAUAUAGUCUUAGAACUAACCUUAGACUACAAUAUCUACAAAAUCAUACAACCAUUCUAUGCCACACUUCAUAGUUUCCAAUUUCUUAUCUUAUUUAUAGUUCCCUGCCAUUCACUAAAUCAAUCCAUCGAACUAAGAACAGGACAUUAAUAUCUAAACUACAAACACCUACUCAUGUAUCCACACCACAUUACCUUAACCAAAUAAUUCUGCUCAUUAAUCGAGUAAUUGAGCACAAAUAAUAUACAAAACUCAUUCAAGAAAAUUUAUCUUAUUCUUACAACCCAAAUAUAUUGGUUGUAUCCAUCCAAACACCUUUCCCGCUGCCAACACAUGGAAUCUUCCAUCAAUAUAUGUGAUGCAUACGUUUUAUAGCACAGGUCUGUGCUACUCAAUUAAACCUAGCCUACCUGGACAUGAAAAAGUUGAUAUGGAGAUAUGAACUUGAGAUUUUGGCUCCGUUCUUUUGAUUUCCAAAGUGAAAUCCAUGAGAAAGAAUUAGGUUCUACUGUGUCCGAGCAUACUUCUUCUUCUUCAUUGCUCUAGAGCUAUAAGGCCACCCUAGGGUUUUUUAGAAUAAAGCACAAUCCUCUUUUACAAUUUAAGAAAGGACGAACAAUAAAGAAAAAUUGGGACUAUUUCUAGUUCUUGAUGUCCUGCUAUAGCAGCCUGCAGGCUACUACCACGACGUCUCUAUAUUGAGAUGAUGUGGG
rnacentral:lncRNA from 1 species